rnacentral:rRNA from 1 species
GUAAGACUGGGAUAACUCCGGGAAACCGGGGCUAAUACCGGAUGGUUGUUUGAACCGCAUGGUUCAGACAUAAAAGGUGGCUUCGGCUACCACUUACAGAUGGACCCGCGGCGCAUUAGCUAGUUGGUGAGGUAACGGCUCACCAAGGCGACGAUGCGUAGCCGACCUGAGAGGGUGAUCGGCCACACUGGGACUGAGACACGGCCCAGACUCCUACGGGAGGCAGCAGUAGGGAAUCUUCCGCAAUGGACGAAAGUCUGACGGAGCAACGCCGCGUGAGUGAUGAAGGUUUUCGGAUCGUAAAGCUCUGUUGUUAGGGAAGAACAAGUGCCGUUCAAAUAGGGCGGCACCUUGACGGUACCUAACCAGAAAGCCACGGCUAACUACGUGCCAGCAGCCGCGGUAAUACGUAGGUGGCAAGCGUUGUCCGGAAUUAUUGGGCGUAAAGGGCUCGCAGGCGGUUUCUUAAGUCUGAUGUGAAAGCCCCCGGCUCAACCGGGGAGGGUCAUUGGAAACUGGGGAACUUGAGUGCAGAAGAGGAGAGUGGAAUUCCACGUGUAGCGGUGAAAUGCGUAGAGAUGUGGAGGAACACCAGUGGGCGAAGGCGACUCUCUGGUCUGUAACUGACGCU